rnacentral:rRNA from 1 species
CCUACGGGGGGCAGCAGUGGGGAAUAUUGCACAAUGGGGGAAACCCUGAUGCAGCAACGCCGCGUGAGUGAAGAAGUCAUUCGUGAUGUAAAGCUCUAUCAGCAGGGAAGAAAAUGACGGUACCUGAGUAAGAAGCCCCGGCUAACUACGUGCCAGCAGCCGCGGUAAUACGUAGGGGGCAAGCGUUGUCCGGAAUUACUGGGUGUAAAGGGAGCGUAGGCGGGAGGAUAAGUUGAAUGUGAAAUCCAUGGGCUCAACCCAUGGCUGCGUUCAAAACUGUUCUUCUUGAGUGAAGUAGAGGCAGG